ACCUUAUCCGUUGUAGCCAAAGU
rnacentral:miRNA from 1 species